rnacentral:rRNA from 1 species
AACGCGAAGAACCUUACCUACUCUUGACAUCCACGGAAUUUAGCAGAGAUGCUUUAGUGCCUUAGGGAACCGUGAGACAGGUGCUGCAUGGCUGUCGUCAGCUCGUGUUGUGAAAUGUUGGGUUAAGUCCCGCGACGAGCGCAACCCUUAUCCUUUGUUGCCAGCGAGUAAUGUCGGGAACUCAAAGGAGACUGCCGGUGAUAAACCGGAGGAAGGUGGGGAUGACGUCAAGUCAUCAUGGCCCUUACGAGUAGGGCUACACACGUGCUACAAUGGCAUAUACAAAGAGAAGCGAACUCGCGAGAGCAAGCGGACCUCAUAAAGUAUGUCGUAGUCCGGAUUGGAGUCUGCAACUCGACUCCAUGAAGUCGGAAUCGCUAGUAAUCGUAGAUCAGAAUGCUACGGUGAAUACGUUCCCGGGCCUUGUACACACCGCCCGU